rnacentral:rRNA from 1 species
GAUGAACGCUGGCGGCGUGCCUAAUACAUGCAAGUCGAGCGAACGGACGAGAAGCUUGCUUCUCUGAUGUUAGCGGCGGACGGGUGAGUAACACGUGGAUAACCUACCUAUAAGACUGGGAUAACUUCGGGAAACCGGUGCUAAUACCGGGUAAUAUUUUGAACCGCAUGGUUCAAAAGUGAAAGACGGUCUUGCUGUCACUUAUAGAUGGAUCCGCGCUGCAUUAGCUAGUUGGUAAGGUAACGGCUUACCAAGGCCACGAUGCCUAGCCGACCUGAGAGGGUGAUCGGCCACACUGGAACUGAGACACGGUCCAGACUCCUACGGGAGGCAGCAGUAGGGAAUCUUCCGCAAUGGGCGAAAGCCUGACGGAGCAACGCCGCGUGAGUGAUGAAGGGCUUCGGAUCGUAAAACUCUGUUAUUAGGGAAGAACAUAUGUGUAAGUAACUGUGCACAUCUUGACGGUACCUAAUCAGAAAGCCACGGCUAACUACGUG